AAGAGAGACCAGCUGGAAUGCAACAGUGAGAAGAGUUCGUGCUUCUAUCAAGGAUCAGGAGUUUCUCUGUUUGAAAGCCCACCACCCACCAUCAUUCAUGAUAAAGUCAUGUAGGGAAAAAGAAGAAAGACUGAAAAAUCCAGUUAACUGUUGCGGAUGAGGGUGUGUAUCCAUGAACUGCACAGUGUGACCACCAGGACUUCAACCUCAUGGAUGUUCCCUCGGCAGAGGCCCAGGACCCCGGGGAGAGGGCGAGAGCCCAGCACUGCCCAGGACACCUUCUUGUUGAGAUGAAGGAUCUGUGUUUUCCAAGCACUCGAGUUGCUCAGUCACCGAAGGCAGAGUUGACCAAGUGCCUGCAUGUCAAGCUGCUGUCUUUAGCCUGUGCUUGUCCUGAGAAGUAGGCAGAGGCAGAGUGCAGCGAGUGGGCAUGGUGUUCAGCUCGUCUCAUUGUAUCUCUAAGGAGAGGACUUCAGAACGAGGACCAGUGGCAGGUAUCUCAGUUGGGAGAGGACACGGUUACACCGAAGCAGCAGCGGGCCUAACUAAUAAGACACCUAACCAGGACAGUGAAGUGCAUGCACAGUGCCAUAAAAAUACCUCCUGGACCCAGCCAUCGGGAAGCGUGGACAGAGAUGCUGGAGGUGGGAACAGGAGGGUACGCUGUCUUCUGAGGUUUUGUUUUUAUUUUAUUUAUUUUUUUCAUCUAAAUUCAAUUAAUGUAUAAUGUAUUUUUAGUUUCAGAGGUUUUGGAGUUUCAGGGAUUCAUCCUUCUUCUAUAACAUCCAGUGCUCAUUUCAUCACGUGCCCUCCUUCAUUCCCAUCUUCUGAGGUUUUAAAACAUCCUCAGUCCAGGAAACUGUGAGGACCAGACGUGACCUUUGCCAGCUGGCUCUCCCCAUUUUGCUUGGUUCUGAGGUAACUGGCACCAUCUGUAAUGGUGCAAGGAAGCUACUAGACAAGUUAGAAUUCUUAAUACUUCCGAGGGUAAUGAUGAUUAAUUUGCUUUAUUUUGUUUUUAAAUUACUGAUAGUUUAGAAAAAGCUGGGGAAAUCUGGCAAAAUAUUCAGUCAAGUAGUAAGUGGAAAAGUGUGUGGUGAUGGUGUAUGCAGUAAGACCUGAAUUUUUAAAAAUUGUCAUGCUCAGCAGUGCAUAUAGAGUCAUAGACAUCCAUUUAUGAAUGGUGAGAUCCCAGGGAUUAUUUAUUUCUUCAUCUUUGCUCAUGUGAACUUUCUUCAAUGGAUUGUAUUAAUUUGUAAUAAGGAAAAAUUUACAACCUUCUGAAAGGUAAAAGCUAAAGUUUUUUACAGAAGCUUGAAGCAUUUAUGUUUCAACACGCUCGCAGCAUUAGAAAGGAACUCACGUAAAAUGGAGAAUAUCAUGCAUAAACACAUAACCACUUCUGAAUCUCAGAAGGAGGCCCGUCAUGACUUGCAACUCUGAAAUCCUGAUUCUGGAAGUGUCCCCGUCAUGGAUCAGUCCGUAUCAGAAUUUCAGUGUGCCACAGCUCGGUGGCCCAGCAUUGGGUCAGGGACACCUAGCUGGCACCUACAGUGGUUUACGGUUUGAGGUAAGGCUUCUAGUAUCACUAUAACCGGUUUUAUUUUUUCACCAUGAAUAUAUGAAGGAGUGUUUCAAAUAUGAGAGCAGAAUUAAAAAUGCAGAUACCCUGGCCUCCAGGAAGGCUUGCCAUGAGCCCCCAGCCUUUCUGCAUGACAUUCAUGCCCUGGCCCACAUGCAGUGGAACCUGAAUCAAGAGGCAUGGCCCGUUCUCGGUAUUUUUUGUCACUGAUUGUCACCCUCAUUGAGCCUUGGCAUGCAGCACUCCUGCCUCUUUAUUAAAUGCAUUUGCACAUGUGUGGGGUGUGGCCAGCACCUCGCAGGUUCUGCAAGAAUGUUGCUCUGAUUGGCAAUAAACAGAGUCCUGGGGGCCCUGCCCCCGCCCCCUCCCAUUCAUGCCCUCUGUCCUGCCCUAGCUAUCGGUCCGUGGGUUGUCAAUCAGCAAAGUCCCCCUCACCCUGCAAGGCAGUGGUGCAAGAGAAGAUGAGCAAAGUCCAGCCAUCCACAGAGUACUCUUGGGCUUUACAGGACUCAGCUUGUAGGAUCUGAAAAUCCAUGAGAGAUUUUUAACCUCUAAGAGGUAACAGGUAGUCCUGAGAGGAGUCGUGUGAACAGGAAUCCUUCUACCAGGCUUUCUCCACUGAGGUCCUGGUGCCAGUGGAGGUGGAGGUGACAUGGUGGCAGCAUGAGCUGAAGGCACCGACGGCCUGGGGCAUCUGCAGGGAAGGUCUCCAUCAGGGUCACCUGCACACAGAGCCCUCCACUGGGGGCACAUCUCUCCACCAGGGGCACUUGUGGGCACACAGGCACCUGUGGGCACAUCUCUCCAUCAUAGGCACCUUUGGGCACAGCUCUCCACCAGGGGCAUUUGGGAGCACACCUCUCCAUCACAGGCACCUGUGCGCAAAACCACUGGGAGCUAUGGCAGGGGUUCAGACACAGGGUGACAUCUACAUCACUUUCUCCAGGACCACAUGUGGGAUCAUGCUCCAUGAUAAGUUUACUUAGAGUUUAGGGUUUCAUAGACAUUAUUUCUUCUCCACUUGAAAAUAUUAUGGACAAUACAAACACUAGAAAUGUUUGUUAACCUCUUGUACUUCAAGAUAUCAUUUCGUUGUAAAUUUUUCAGACUAUUUAAACAGGCAUUCAUCUUCUGUAUUUAGAAGAAGGUUUAACUUCCUGUGAAAACUAAUCCCUAAACAAAAGCGAAACAACAAGUAGUGCAGUGUGCAGCUGAAUUAGUUCCACCUACAGGGGAGACCCAGGCCAGCAGAUGGUGCCCUUCUUCUGGGGCCUCCUUCCCAGAGGCCACGAGUGGGCUCCCAGGAGACGCCCGCAGAGCAGCCAGCUGGGCACCUGCCUGAUGGCUUCUUUUGUGGUUGGGUAGUUAUGGCUCACACACAGCCUUCAGAAAUCAGGUCCACCUUCUUCCAAAUGUGUAAGCGCAGCAGCCCUCAGCAGUCCAGCUCUGCUCACCGCAUAGUUCCUGUCCUGUUGGUUGACAGUGACUAACGCUGUCACUAACGUGGCACUCAUCAAAGGCUGAGCUAGCUCAGAUAGCUUACCUAAACGUCCAGCUGUCUCUUGAUGAGCCAGGGAUGUCAGUAUGUGAGAGGGUUGGGCAGAAGUCAUUGAGAGGAGGGAGAAGGUUCCAACAGAAUCUUAAGUGAUACAGCUUUUGAAUAAAUUAGAUGUUGUUCUCUAGGUUGGUAUGAACGUUAAUAAUAAAAUUAUUUCAUUUCCCUUUUCUAAUUUGAAAUUCGGGUUGAAAAUGUUUUUAGCACAUAAAACAUGCAUGGUGAGAGGUCUGUACACAGUUAGUCUGCCUCCGAGGGGCUGCCUGCAUGGUGAUGUCCCGUCAACUCAGAACAGCCGAUCCACACCCAUGGGAAACACUUUCCUCGUGCGGCAUACAUUCUACCUCUGGUCCUUCUUUUGGGGAAUGCCCCGGAUCUCCUUUUCAAAAUGCAAGUGUCUGUAAAGGGCUGAUUGUCAUACUGUCAUCAACAUUGUUGCUACCAUGGCAUGACUUGGCAGACUGCUUUUCAGAAUGUCAGUUCUCUGGGGAUGGUGUUGACGCAGACUUGUACAUUUUGUUGGGUAUGAAACACUGAGGAAUCCUGGUCUUGGGGGAAGGGGAGAUGGAGGGGAGCCUCUCAGAAGCCAGGAGGGAAUUCGGUGACCUGGGUGAAGGCACCACUGCCUUCUGUUGUGUUGUGUUUGUGUGUUGCAAAGGAAGGCUGUACCCAGAAUCACAGGGGAUGGGACAAAGGGACCAGCAGUCAUCCUACCCUCCUGUCUUUUUAUAAAGGGCACAUGGGAAAGGAGAGAGACAACACAGGCUAGUGACAGCUCAUUGACCAUGUCCAUGUUGCCAGGUUUGCUUUCAUGUUUCAUUGAUUUUUUUUUCUGAUUAAAAAUUAGACACUUCUCAUUACAGAACAUUCAGAGAAUACAGAAUGGGCACCAAGAAUAAAAUCAGGGGUGUCUGGGUUGCUUAGUGGGUUAAGUGUCUUACUCUCGAUUUUAGCUCAGGUCAUGAUCUCAGGGUGGUGAGAUUGAGCUCCACGUUGGGCUCUCCACAGGGUGCGGU